GAGUAUUGAGUUUGAGCCCUAAACUCACGAGUUAUCUGAAAAGUUAGGAAAAACUAAAGUGUGAGCUAUGAAGCUCAAUGUGAUCUUAACAUAUGAGAAGUAAAUAUAAAACAAUAAUUAACAGCACACAGGUUUGCAAUAUAUAAUACAUAUCAUAUUACCAAUCCUACAAUGAUCUUAAUAAAUAUACAGUGUGCAUGAAUAACGGUACAAUUUUCCUACUCAACUAUCCACUACACUCUAUAGUAGAGUUCCCAAGAACUUGUUUAACCCUACAUACCAAACAAUAUUUUACGGAUGAAUUGCCAUUAUAUCAGUAGGUCAUAGAUAAACCGCCAAUAAAAUAAUAAUUUGAUUGAUAAAUUAGUCUGACAUUAAAUGCCUACACUUCCUCCUUCAAAACUCAAAUCUCAAUGCAACAAUGUGGCAUGCUAUCGAUAUCAGAAAGCAAUAACAAUAACAGUAACAAAAUUAAUAUGCUAUUAUCAUGCAAACAAUAACAAUUUUAUGGUUAAGCAAUAGUAAUAAGUAUGCAUCAGUAAUUUAUACAAAUUUAUCAUAGAUUUAACGUCACGCACAUAAUCAACAUUACAAUUCAUAAAAUUGGCAGCAAAGAACAAUUAUACUUACGGUGGAGGAUGUGGCGACAACAAGGGAGAAAAGAGAGGAAGAGGAACAAAAAAAAAAAGAAAAAAAAGGGAGAAAGAGAAGAGAAGGGAAAAGAGAGGGGACAAUGCAAGGGAAAAGAAAGAGAGAAGAGGGGAAAGAAAUAGAGAAUUUAGGGUUUGGGUGACACAAAGCAAAG
rnacentral:lncRNA from 1 species